GUGUCCUCAGCAGCCUCUCUUCAAUCUGAACCUCAUGUGGAAGUUGAUGUAACAACUUUCAGUAAUGAUUUAAGUGUCACAUCUGUUACUGAAAAAUAAAAACCUAGUAGGUGAGUAUUCCUCCAUGAAAUGUUAACCUUUUGUAAAGACCUAUUUACACGUCAAAAAGGCCCAAAGGCAUUUUUAGCUGAUGUACAUCAGCAUAGGCCCAGCUAUGCAGUUUUACCCACCUAUUCUGUUUUACACCACUCUCCAUAUUGGCAAUCUUGCCUCUGGCUAUGUAGAACUAUAAUCUGUAGAUCCUUAGAUUGGCACUGUGGAUGUGGCCAAGCAAUCCUCAGCACGUUAAAAGCUGUGGACCAGGAUUUUCUUUCUAAGGAGGCCUCUUUCUGAAGACAUAUCCUUUAACAUUGCUCAGUUUUGAUGAUGAGCUUCCUAAGAUUGCUCAGGAUGACCAAAUUGAACAAAUUUAUCUUCUAAUAAAGCUGCCAGGACUCAUGUUGCUGAGGUCCUCCCAGAACCUAACAUCUCUUCAAAAUCUUCACAGAAAUUUGGGAGGAAGUGAAUUGCAAGCAGAGGUUUUGCACCUAUGGUAGCCUGAAGUCCAUUGCCUCUGCAAGACGUGGGAGCAGGUCCUGUCUGCACAUAAUUGAGUGGGUUAGUUAGAGUACUGUUAGCCUAUAUACAGACCUUACUUUGGGGUGAAUAGCAUAUUUCAGCAUAAGUCCAUGCUUGUCUGACCUAAACUGAAUUAAAAUAAGCUGAGUUUAAACUAAGGGAUGACUGAUUUUUCUGGCUUUUGCACUAAAUCAGCUACAUUAGGUUUUAAAACACACUUUGAAAGAAGACCCUACAACUCUGCAUGCAGGCAAGCCUUUAAGCUUCAAUUUGUUUGUGUGAUAUACAGAUCAGAGAGUACAAAGGGCAUCUUUGUUCUCCUCCCAGCUCUGAUCCACACGUCUCUUUCUUUCUUCACUGUUAUUUUCUGCUGGACCCAUGAGGUCAUCUCAGUUUGACUAUUCAUUUGUGACUGCAAUAAUAAUUUUUUAGAAGAUGUCACAUGUGGUGAAAAUUCCUGUCUGAACACUGUUAACAGCAUGGUGAAAGACAGGCUGAUCUUCACCUGGCCAGAGCUGGAAGCAGAUUCUGGAGAUGCUGUUUUACUCAUCUGGGACUGAUCUCAGUUUGUAGCCUAUUUGCCAGCAUGACAUGCCAUCAGAUUUCCAGAAUACUCGAUGGGAGGAUUUGCGCUUUCAGCUGCACACUGAUGAGUGCCCCUCUGGUUCCCCUCCCCCAGCUUAUUAGCAUGCAUGUCUCCCCUUAUUAGUGUUCGUCAUUAUGUGAACAUCUGGUAACUAUUCUGUUUUCCUUCUCCUCAGAAAGAGGGCUUCACAGCCAUGAGGAAAAUUAGUAUUACGUACAAGCAAUUUUUAAUACUGACUCCAGGUCCAUUAAUUUUUUUCAUUAUCGUUAUCAUCAUUACCAUGGCAAGGGUGGGCAGGUAGGCUGCAGGCCUGAUUCCCAUCUCACUUGGAGAGUAUAGAGGGAGUAAAACUCUUCCAAAGGCAGCAGGGUUACACCAAUGCAAGCUGGGGUAAGUGCAGAUCAGGGUCUGACUCAUUACAAUUUUUUUUUUCAUGGCUGCCUUUAAAAUAUGAGUAGUUUCUCUUCCAAAUCCAUUUAACUGUAAUUAACUGUAAUGAAGUUGUGGGGUUUUGGUUUUUUUUUUCUGCUUGUAUUUCUCAAAUACAUGCUCCACCAAAGAUUUUAAAUGACCCCUCUGGCUACAUAUCUUGUAAUCAAUGUAGAAAUUAUUUCUCUCAGGUAUGUAAGGAGAAGGUGAAAAAGAGAUAAUUGGAAACUAGACAUAUUUGCUGAGGUCCUCACUUUGAUUUUUUUCCUUCAAUAGAUGACUGGUUAAGAUGGAACACACAUUUUUAGUGGAUCAUGGUUAUAUUCAGUACUCUCAGCCAGGUCGCAAGGCUUCACGAACUGUCUGAAAUAUUCCAGAAUUUAGAUCUCCCACCUUCCCUCUGUAUUGCUAUACUGGCUUAUUAUUUUUCAUUUUAUUUUAAUCUCACAUUCCAAAGAAAAUGAGUUUAAAACAAAUCAAUAGAACACUUCUAAAUGAACAGAAGCCUUUAACGAGUUAGAUGAUGUGAAAAUUAAGGAAAUGCUGGGAACAAAAUGCCAAGAGAUAAAUAUCAAAACUGGUUUUGAAUGUUGAGUUACUUCCCUGUCUUCGAAAUGGACACACACAUAGAGUGAUUAAUUGCCUGAACAAAGUCAAUGAAAUACUAAAUCUUCUGCUUAUUUUUAACCUGUGGGAUCACAUUUUCAUUUCUGGAUUUAUUAUUCUUAACCGUGUACCACUAGAGGGUGCUCAGAUAGCAGUAUUUCUGGGAAUUUAUAAAUCAUUAUUUCUGGAAUUUUUUGCUUAUGUGAAGCUAGGUGUGGCUUUAAUUCUCAUCUACUUACUGGGUCUGGCUGGUUUGUUUGUUUGCUUGUUUUUUUCCCCUCUGUCUCUAUUUAGAGCUUCUGCAAGCUGAGAGACCCUUGAAUGAGUUUGUAGUUCAUCAUCUUGAUGCUAUUUUAAUAGCAUUCGUCAGCACAGCACAGAUAAUCUCACUGUGUCACUCCUCACAUCACGGCCAAACAUGAAUUAUUGUGCCACAGGCAUGAAAACAGAAUUAAACAUAAGCUUCCAAAUAUUUAAAUUGGACUUGGUAGAAUCUGAGGAUCCAGAACCAUUUCAGGAAAAAUGUUGGAGAGGAGUAGUAACUUUCAUACCCUUUGUCCUUCACAUCGGAAGCCUUCACUCAACUGAGUGGUGGCUUUACCUCUGUCUGUGACUUUUGCCAGGAGUGCGUUGCUUUGGAGAUCUCAUGGUCUGUGUGUUACGACAAGCAUAUAACCUUUCCAACCUAAGGGGCCUACGAGCAGAUUGAUCAGUCUGCCUCUUCUAAAGGAGGACAUGUAACAGCUGUGACCACAGCACCUGAUUGAGCCCAGGGUGCUCUGCCAUGUUCCCAGGAAAGAAGCCCAUAUAUAGCUCUACAACAUAGCCAUGUAGAGCACAUACAGCAAUCCAGCAUGAUGACAAAGAUGGAAGCAAGGUGGGUAGGAGCUGGUUUCCACCCCUCCAGCAAUUCAUCCACACCUCUAUGCAGUCUAAUGGCUGGAUGAGCUGCAGCCUGCAGCCAGGCUGGGAGCCCUAGGCUUGGCAGAUGUCAUGUUGCACUUCCUGACUAAACUGUUCAUAUGCAGCCAUUCAUUGAUCCACACCCCACAGGUUCGUGAACUUCAGGCUACCUUCAGGACACUGCGCCUCUUUGUUGCUGUGCUUCCAGCAUUGUACCUUGAACCAAUCACAGCCUUACAUACUCUCAUUUGCUCUGUAUGAAAGACUUCUCUGCCCUUUUUGAAGAUGUUAUUUUAACACCCCUAUGAAGAGAUGAUUUUACCACAGCUGGGAAGAGAAACUAAACUCUUGGAUGCUUUCAAGUCGUAUGCAUUGUUUGUGGAAAUGAGCAGAUUUCAGCAAUUUACCUCAGGCAGAAUUGUGCAGUUAUGAGAAAAAUGUGUAGUUUUGCCACCAUAUUCCUUCAUGAACUGGUAUGGUUUGGGUUUUGGUUUUGUUUCUGCUUUGUUUUGUUUUUAAAUUGUUGUUGAGCCUUUCUGUUCAUGCUCUGGAAAUCGUUUUUCUCCAAGCCUUCCACAACUACACCUAACUUUGUAGACACCAUGAGACAAGCAUAGGCAUUUUAAUGAAGAAUAUACAAUUUUAUUGUGACACA